rnacentral:rRNA from 1 species
ACAGGAGUGCCUUAUUAUCUUAAAAUAUCAGAUCGCGUAAGCGAGCGAUUAAUAAUAAGGUGACACAUAAUCGGAGGCCACGACUGUUUACUAAAAACACAACACAGUGCAAUCAUUAAUGUGAUAGUAUACUGUGUGAAAUUUGCCCAAUGCCAUUAAUAUAAGAACAAUCAUGGUUAGUUAAAAAUAAAAACUAAUAAAACUGUGAUUUAUCGAAAGUCUGGUUAAUAGCGGUCUUAACUAUGAGGAUCCUAAGGUAGCAAAAUAAAUUGGCCAUUAAAUGUGGUCCGGUAUCAAUAAUGUAACGAUGGUCUCGCUGUCUCUACAACUUGCUCAGUGAAAUUGAAUUACGCGUGCAGAUGCGCGUUACCACCAGGGGGACGGGAAGACCCUAUGCAGCUUCUACUG